CCUACGGGUGGCAGCAGUGGGGAAUAUUGGACAAUGGGCGAAAGCCUGAUCCAGCCAUGCCGCGUGUGUGAAGAAGGCCUUCGGGUUGUAAAGCACUUUCAGUGGGGAAGAAAGCCUUGGGGCUAAUACCCUCGAGGAAGGACAUCACCCACAGAAGAAGCACCGGCUAACUCCGUGCCAGCAGCCGCGGUAAUACGGAGGGUGCGAGCGUUAAUCGGAAUUACUGGGCGUAAAGCGCGCGUAGGCGGUCUGAUAAGCCGGUUGUGAAAGCCCCGGGCUCAAACUGGGAACGGCAUCCGGAACUGUCAGGCUAGGGUGCAGGAGAGGAAGGUAGAAUUCCCGGUGUAGCGGUGAAAUGCGUAGAGAUCGGGAGGAAUACCAGUGGCGAAGGCGGCCUUCUGGACUGACACUGACGCUGAGGUGCGAAAGCGUGGGUAGCAAACAGGAUUAGAUACCCGAGUAGUC
rnacentral:rRNA from 1 species